UGGGGAAUAUUGCACAAUGGAGGAAACUCUGAUGCAGCAAUGCCGCGUGGAGGAUGACGGAUUUCGGUCUGUAAACUCCUUUUAUAUAGGAAGAUAAUGACGGUACUAUAUGAAUAAGCACCGGCUAACUCCGUGCCAGCAGCCGCGGUAAUACGGAGGGUGCAAGCGUUACUCGGAAUCACUGGGCGUAAAGAGCGCGUAGGCGGGUUAUUAAGUUAGAAGUGAAAGCCCACAGCUCAACUGUGGAACUGCUUCUAAAACUGGUAACCUAGAAUUUGGGAGAGGUAAGUGGAAUUCCUGGUGUAGGGGUGAAAUCCGUAGAGAUCAGGAGGAAUACCGAAAGCGAAGGCGACUUACUGGAACAAUAUUGACGCUGAUGCGCGAAAGCGUGGGGAGCAAACAGG
rnacentral:rRNA from 1 species